rnacentral:tRNA from 1 species
CAGCACUAGCCUUUUAAGCUAGAGAAAGAGGACCACUAACCCUCCCUAAUGAU